UUGCAACUUUUGUGUUUUAAACCACUGUGGUGUCGCCGGACGUCAUAGUGUUAAUUCUUUUCAUUAUUAAUAAUUGUGUAUUUUAAAAUGAUUAACGCAAAAAGAGCUGUGUGAUGUACAAUACUUGGUUAGUAAAUCUGAGCGCUCGAGUUCGGCAAUCCCCGUAACGCCCCGUCAAUUGUUCACAAUGCUCGAAUGUCUAGGAUUUUCUCGACAUAAAUGGGACUCAAACGGUUAAAUAAGCAAACGAAUGAAAAUAUUCACGUGCAAUAAAUUAAAAUUGUUAAAAA
rnacentral:lncRNA from 1 species